rnacentral:lncRNA from 1 species
CAACAACAGAUUGAUGCUAGAGGAAGGAUCCUUUGCCAAAAGAUUUGGGGGAAAAUGGUAAAUCAAAAAGCACAGAAUCCUCUACCUACACUGUCUUCUCCAAGAGGUGUGCUAGAAGCUGCUUAAGCUCUAGUUACGAUUGAUUCACAAUAAUUCAAUCUUCUAGUUCAACAAAUUUAAGCUCUUACUACUGUUGUACAACAACUCCAAUGCACUACUGAAUAGAAACAAGAAAUCAUUCCUCAAGAAGUUUUAUCUCAGCACAGUCAGCAAUCAAUUCAUCAAGAUUUCCAUCAUGAUUACCAUCCUACUCAGACUGAUCAAUUUUUUGAAGGGGAGUCUAUUUCUGAUAGUGGGAAACCAUACUAGGG